GAGCCUCUGGAUGAUUCUAGGAUUAAUACUAAAGUUAACCCUAGUAGGGAAUGUCAAGUCACUAUCACUAAAAGUGACGAGGUUGUUGAUGAGGAAAAGAUAGAGAGAGAUAAUGAAAAGAUAGAUGAGGAAAAGAUUGAGAGAGAUGAGGAAAAGAUAGAGAGAAAUGAGUAAAAGAUAGAGGAGGAAAAGAUUGGGAGAGACGAGGAAAAGAUAGAGGAGAUAGAGACAGAAAGGUUGAGUGAGGAAGAUAGAGAUGAAGAGAAGGAAAUAGAAGUGGUUGAGAGAAAAGAAAAAAGAGAAAAUGUGUGAAAAUAAACAAGAAAGUAAGAAAAAAGAAAAAGAGAAAGUUGAGGGAGAAGAAGAGUAAGAAGAAGAGGAUGAAAGGAAGAAAGAAAAGAUCACAUGAAAAACCCCUUGCACAUCUAAAAAUGUAUCAUAGGAAGGAAAAGAAUUUAUGUGCUUUAUGGAGAUCUUCAAGAAAUUGUAGAUUAAAGUUCCUAUGAUUGAAACAUGAAAACAGGUGUUUGGUCUUAUCAACUUUCUGAAGAAAUUCAGUCGAAAGAAGAAAAAGAAAAGAAUAUCAAGCAAAGAGAAUAUCAACACUUACUAAUGGGUGUUUAAACUUUACUAGGUCAAGCUAAUGACGUUAAAAGAGCGCUUGCUAGGAGGCAACCCAAUUUCUGACUUUAUCUUUUUCUUUGAUUAUUUGUGUGGUUUGGAUUUGAUUUUUCUUUGUGUGUUUGAGUUUUUUUUAGGUUAUAUGUUGCUUCUGAUGACAGUGAUGGUAACAUCUACUUGUUGAGAUUGU
rnacentral:lncRNA from 1 species